GAUGAACGCUGGCGGCGUGCCUAAUACAUGCAAGUCGAGCGAACGGACGAGAAGCUUGCUUCUCUGAUGUUAGCGGCGGACGGGUGAGUAACACGUGGAUAACCUACCUAUAAGACUGGGAUAACUUCGGGAAACCGGAGCUAAUACCGGAUGAUAUUUUGAACCGCAUGGUUCAAAAGUGAAAGACGGUCUUGCUGUCACUUAUAGAUGGAUCCGCGCUGCAUUAGCUAGUUGGUAAGGUAACGGCUUACCAAGGCAACGAUGCAUAGCCGACCUGAGAGGGGGCUGCGCCACAGGGUAAGUGAGCCACGGUCAAGACCCCGCGGGGGGGCCGCAGUAGGGACUUUUCCGCAAGGGGCGAAGGCCUGACGGAGCAACGCCGGGGGAGUGAUGAAGGUCUUCGUAUCGAAAAACUUUUUUAUUGGGAAAAAAAAUAUGUGAAAGUAUCUGUGCACUUCUUGACGGUCCCUAAUAAGAAAGCCAGGGCUAACUCCGUC
rnacentral:rRNA from 1 species